UACCGGUCGGUGGGGAGAUAACUGUGAUGGAAUCUGUAACUGUGGCAGUGAAACUUGUAAUAUUGCAACUGGACAGUGUGGCUGUGAUAAAGGACAGUGUGGAUCUCAAUGUGAGCAAACGUGUGAUUGUCCAUUGGGAUGCCGUCAGGACAUGUGCGUGUGCUUGACCCCCCAGGAGCAAAAAGACUCUUCAAGCAGCGACAGCUCAAUCGGGGUUCCAGCAAUCGCUGGGAUUGCUGUCAGUUGUGUUCUACUCGGAAUCCUCGUCACCAUCGUCCUCGUCUACCUACGUCACAAGGCUAAAGCGGGCACCACCAUGCAAGGCCCGAUGGACACGACAGGUUAAGUGAAA